AUUGAACGCUGGCGGCAGGCCUAACACAUGCAAGUCGAGCGAGCGGCGGACGGGUGAGUAAUGUCUGGGAAACUGCCUGAUGGAGAGGGAUAACUACUGGAAACGGUAACUAAUACCGCAUACCGUCAAGUGUGCCCAGGGGGGAUUAGCUAGUAGGUGGGGUAACUGCUCACCUAGGCGACGAUCCCUAGAUGGGCUGCGAGGAUGACCAGCCACACUGGAACUGAGACACGGUCCAGACUCCUACGGGAGGCAGCAGUGGGGAAUAUUGGACAAUGGGCGAAAGCCUGAUCCAGCCAUGCCGCGUGUGUGAAGAAGGUCUUCGGAUUGUAAAGCACUUUAAGUUGGGAGGCGUUACCAACAGAAUAAGCACCGGCUAACUUCGUGCCAGCAGCCGCGGUAAUAC
rnacentral:rRNA from 1 species